AUUGAACGCUGGCGGCAUGCCUUACACAUGCAAGUCGAACGGCAGCGGGGGAGAAGCUUGCUUUUCCUGCCGGCGAGUGGCGAACGGGUGAGUAAUACAUCGGAACGUGCCCUGUAGUGGGGGAUAACUAGUCGAAAGAUUAGCUAAUACCGCAUGCGACCUGAGGGUGAAAGUGGGGGGCCGCAAGGCCUCAUGCUAUAGGAGCGGCCGAUGUCUGAUUAGCUAGUUGGUGGGGUAAAGGCCUACCAAGGCGACGAUCAGUAGCUGGUCUGAGAGGACGAUCAGCCACACUGGGACUGAGACACGGCCCAGACUCCUACGGGAGGCAGCAGUGGGGAAUUUUGGACAAUGGGCGAAAGCCUGAUCCAGCAAUGCCGCGUGUGUGAAGAAGGCCUUCGGGUUGUAAAGCACUUUUGUCCGGAAAGAAAUGGCUCUGGUUAAUACCUGGGGUCGAUGACGGUACCGGAAGAAUAAGGACCGGCUAACUACGUGCCAGCAGCCGCAGUAA
rnacentral:rRNA from 1 species